GAGGAAUAUUGGUCAAUGGACGAGAGUCUGAACCAGCCAAAUCGCGUGAAGGAAGACUGCCCUACGGGUUGUAAACUUCUUUUGUACAGGAAUAAAAGACAUUACGUGUAAUGUAUUGCAUGUACUGUACGAAUAAGCAUCGGCUAACUCCGUGCCAGCAGCCGCGGUAAUACGGAGGAUGCGAGCGUUAUCCGGAUUUAUUGGGUUUAAAGGGUGCGCAGGCGGGAUUUUAAGUCAGCGGUGAAAUCUGGACGCUUAACGUCCAAACUGCCGUUGAAACUGGGAGUCUUGAGUAUGGAUGAAGUAGGCGGAAUGUGACAAGUAGCGGUGAAAUGCAUAGAUAUGUCACAGAACACCGAUUGCGAAGGCAGCUUACUAUGGUAUUAUUGACGCUGAGGCACGAAAGCGUGGGGAUCAAACA
rnacentral:rRNA from 1 species